GAAGGUAUAGCUCAGUGGUAGAGUGCGUGUUUAGCAUGCAUGAGGUCUUGGGUUCAGUGCCCACUACCUCCA
rnacentral:tRNA from 1 species